rnacentral:rRNA from 1 species
UACGUAGGGGGCAAGCGUUGUCCGGAUUUAUUGGGCGUAAAGAGCGUGUAGGCGGCCUGACAGGUCUGCUGUGAAAACUCGAGGCUCAACCUCGAGAUGUCGGCGGAAACCGUCUGGCUAGAGUCCGGAAGAGGAGAGUGGAAUUCCUGGUGUAGCGGUGAAAUGCGCAGAUAUCAGGAAGAACACCUAUGGCGAAGGCAGCUCUCUGGGACGGUACUGACGCUGAGACGCGAAAGUGUGGGGAGCGAACAGG